ensembl:lncRNA
CUUGUUGUUGUGGAACUGUUUCACAUACACAGACAACACUUUAUCAUCACCAUGGGUACUUCCCCGCUGAUGAUAACGCUAGAAAACCCGGUAAAAGACGUGUGUCAACUCUGUGACAAGCCUUUUGAUGAUAAAAGAAACAAACAUAAUUUGAUAAUCAGCAUCCAGAAGCCGAAGCCUUCCUACACUUUGGCUCUGGAGGAGCUAACCGGGCUCCUUAUCACCAGGGAAGACUUGCUAGCGGUGUGUAGCUCCUGCAGAACUUUACUAAACCGAUAUCACAGAAGCUCGUGAGAAGCUGAGCGGAUCGCUGCAGUGGUUCAAUCCAUGUCAGUGAUUCGCACUGCUUCCAGAAAUAGGCGUCAAAUUAACUCCGACCGAAGACUGUUGUACCCGAAAAUGGAUCAACAACAAGCACCAAAGUCCUCCGAAACAGAAUCUGGGAUCCUCUGAGGUUCUUGAAGACAUUGUACCUCUCUCAUCGUCAAGAAACUAAAAGAAAAACGCAGUUAUCUUCUAUCUUCAAUCUGCAGAAUCCCUCUCAGUCUUUAAGAAAGGACUAUAAACCCAGUUCUUCACUGAACGCCUUUGCGCUUGACAGACUGCGAAAAAGAAAAACUAAAAAAAAUCCUAUUACCUGCUCCAAAGCCUGUAGGUACCAAGGUCCUAUUAUCACACUUGAACUUAUUUUAUGGCACUUAUCCUGGUUGUUUUCUCCUGACUAGAUCCUUGCUUGUGUUGUAUCUAC